rnacentral:sRNA from 12 species
CCUUUGGAGAGUUAUAUCAAACUGAAGUAGCGUUUAGCAAAACAAGACUCGAUGAACAAGGAA